CCUACGGGGAGCAGCAGUGAGGAAUAUUGGUCAAUGGGCGCGAGCCUGAACCAGCCAAGUAGCGUGAAGGAUGACUGCCCUACGGGUUGUAAACUUCUUUUAUAAAGGAAUAAAGUGAGGCACGUGUGCCUUUUUGCAUGUACUUUAUGAAUAAGGAUCGGCUAACUCCGUGCCAGCAGCCGCGGUGAUACGGAGGAUCCGAGCGUUAUCCGGAUUUAUUGGGUUUAAAGGGAGCGUAGGCGGGUUGUUAAGUCAGUUGUGAAAGUUUGCGGCUCAACCGUAAAAUUGCAAUUGAUACUGGCAGCCUUGAGUACGGUUGAGGUAGGCUGAAUUCGUGGUGUAGCGGUGAAAUGCUUAGAUAUCACGAAGAACUCCGAUUGCGAAGGCAGCUUACUAAACUGCCACUGACGUUGAGGCUCGAAGGUGUGGGUAUCGAACAGGAUUAGAUACCCUAGUAGUC
rnacentral:rRNA from 1 species